rnacentral:rRNA from 1 species
AGCGAACGCUGGCGGCAGGCCUAAUACAUGCAAGUCGAGCGCCCCUUCGGGGGAGCGGCGGACGGGUGAGUAACGCGUGGGAACGUGCCCUUUGGUACGGAACAACUGAGGGAAACUUCAGCUAAUACCGUAUGUGCCCUUCGGGGGAAAGAUUUAUCGCCAUUGGAGCGGCCCGCGUUGGAUUAGGUAGUUGGUGAGGUAAAGGCUCACCAAGCCUACGAUCCAUAGCUGGUCUGAGAGGANGAUCAGCCACACUGGGACUGAGACACGGCCCAGACUCCUACGGGAGGCAGCAGUAGGGAAUCUUGCGCAAUGGGCGAAAGCCUGACGCAGCCAUGCCGCGUGAAUGAUGAAGGUCUUAGGAUUGUAAAAUUCUUUCACCGGGGAAGAUAAUGACGGUACCCGGAGAAGAAGCCCCGGCUAACUUCGUGCCAGCAGCAGCCGCAGUAAG